GACGAACGCUGGCGGCAGGCCUAACACAUGCAAGUCGAGCGAGCAUUUCGGUGCUAGCGGCGGACGGGUGAGUAACGCGUGGGAACGUGCCCUUUUCUGCGGAAUAGUCCUGGGAAACUGGGGGUAAUACCGCAUACGCCCUUUUGGGGAAAGAUUUAUCGGAGAAGGAUCGGCCCGCGUUGGAUUAGGUAGUUGGUGGGGUAAUGGCCCACCAAGCCGACGAUCCAUAGCUGGUUUGAGAGGAUGAUCAGCCACACUGGGACUGAGACACGGCCCAGACUCCUACGGGAGGCAGCAGUGGGGAAUCUUAGACAAUGGGGGCAACCCUGAUCUAGCCAUGCCGCGUGAGUGAUGAAGGCCUUAGGGUUGUAAAGCUCUUUCAGCUGGGAAGAUAAUGACGGUACCAGCAGAAGAAGCCCCGGCUAACUCCGUG
rnacentral:rRNA from 1 species